GUUGCUUUUAACCGGCAUCUGCCGGUGUUCCCAACUACUUCUUCAAAAAGCCAUCUUCAAUCUCAGCCAGCCCCAAACUCAACCAAAUCACCUUACUCCCCUUCAAAUUGAUCCGGUGUUCAGACUAAAUCACAAACCACAACCACCCAUUCAACUUACUACCCUUUAAAUUGAUCCGAUUGUUUGACUAAACAUACCCACUUUUGAAAAACGUCGGAGAUCCCCAGCACCGUCGCCAGUCAGUCAACCUCCGUUAGGACUUUUGGUUUGUCAUCUUCUUCGUCGGGUCCGACUGUUUAUGUUUGUCAGUUGCCAAUGUUUCAUAACUUCUUACUCAGGUUGUUGGGUAUCGGUUUUGCACAUUCUGUUUGGUGAUCUUUUCGGUAUAUUUGUUUUUUCAUAUAUAUGUCAUAUUUACAUUUUUUUAUGUUGAUGUCUAUCGUUUUAUUGUAUGUAGUUGGUUAUGAUCCGUAUAUAUGUUGCUCUUAUUAAUAAUAUUUAUUUUUGCCAAAAAAAUAUUACCUAUGAAUACACAAGGGACAACGAAGAUCAUUGCCAGAGUUCAGCAAUCUUUACUGAUUUUGGAAUAAUGAUGGAGAUGACUUCAGACUGUAAAGGGGACUCAAUGGCAAUGAACAAUGGCAAAUAUGUUCGGUUCACACGGAACAUUGCCCAAAACCGAGCUCACAACUGAGACAACAACUCAUUCAUAAGUGCCUUAUCCUCUCAAACAUCGAGCCAAAGCAGAUCAAAGUCCGGUUUCAUAAUCGAAGUUUGUCAUUGUGUAUAGAAAAAGAAGCAAAGAUCAAAAAUAAAACCAGGAACUACUUGGAUGAGCUAGCGCCAAAGUGUCACAUCGAAAAAAGAACUCCGAGCUUCUUCCAAGGUGUAUACAUGGCAUUUUGAAACUCCAAUAUGCCAUGAAAGGAACAAGUUCAAGUGACUGAGAAGUUUAUAACAUUACAAUGAUCUGGAACAGGCUGGAUAUAUGAUUCAGUGUUGCAUUUAUGUGCUUCCUUCUUUGCCGACCUUUAUGUUUAGUACAUCAUUUCCUAUUAAUAGAAAAAUAUACCCGCCACGAAGCGCGGGCGUCAUCUACUAGUUUUAUAUAUAUACUGUAGUAGACAAAAAGAAAAGGGUAUAGUGAAAGUAAAACACACUGCCUACGUGGCAAUGAUAAAUCCACUACACCCAUAUCAAAGGGUAGUUUAGCUAAAGGCCCACUGCCUACGUGGCAAUGAUGUGUAGCUAAAACACACUCAUG